GACGAACACUGGCGGCGCGCCUAACACAUGCAAGUCGAACGAGCGAGAGAGAGCUUGCUUUCUUGAGCGAGUGGCGAACGGGUGAGUAACGCGUGAGGAACCUGCCUCAAAGAGGGGGACAACAGUUGGAAACGACUGCUAAUACCGCAUAAGCCCACGGUGCCGCAUGGCACAGAGGGAAAAGGAGCAAUCCGCUUUGAGAUGGCCUCGCGUCCGAUUAGCUAGUUGGUGAGGUAACGGCCCACCAAGGCGACGAUCGGUAGCCGGACUGAGAGGUUGAACGGCCACAUUGGGACUGAGACACGGCCCAGACUCCUACGGGAGGCAGCAGUGGGGAAUAUUGCACAAUGGGGGAAACCCUGAUGCAGCGACGCCGCGUGGAGGAAGAAGGUCUUCGGAUUGUAAACUCCUGUUGUUGGGGAAGAUAAUGACGGUACCCAACAAGGAAGUGACGGCUAACUACGUG
rnacentral:rRNA from 1 species